rnacentral:siRNA from 1 species
ACCCAAAUUUUGAACGUCUUACGU